UACGUAGGGUGCGAGCGUUAAUCGGAAUUACUGGGCGUAAAGCGUGCGUAGGCGGUUUGGCGUGUCCUGUGUGAAAGCCCCGGGCUCAACCUGGGAAUUGCAUGGGAAACUGGCAGGCUUGAGUGUGGCAGAGGAGGGUGGAAUUCCGCGUGUAGCAGUGAAAUGCGUAGAGAUGCGGAGGAACACCGAUGGCGAAGGCAGCCCUCUGGGACAACACUGACGCUCAGGCACGAAAGCGUGGGGAGCAAACAGG
rnacentral:rRNA from 1 species